AUACGGAGGCUGCAAGCGUUACUCGGAAUCACUGGGCGUAAAGCGCGCGCAGGCGGCUAUUUAAGUUGGAUGUGAAAGCCUACGGCUCAACCGUAGAACUGCAUCCAAAACUAUUUAGCUAGAGUGUGGGAGAGGAAGAUGGAAUUAGUUGUGUAGGGGUAAAAUCCGUAGAGAUAACUAGGAAUACCAAAAGCGAAGGCAAUCUUCUGGAACACUACUGACGCUGAGGCGCGAAAGCGUGGGGAGCAAACGGGAGUAGAUACCCUAGUAGUCC
rnacentral:rRNA from 1 species